ACUAGUGCGUGAAGGACUUUUCCCCUUUCUUCUUCCCCGAGCACGAAUCCAUGGCAGCACGCAGCACAGGUUUGUCCCGGUCGUUGGCGUCUUCGUGGCCCCGCCGCAAACCUUGGUCCUCCGAUCCUGUACAGAGAGUCGCCGUAUGCGUACGACCCGCCGCUCAAUUGCAGAAUACCCCUCGAUGGAUUUCCUGGGAGAAAAUAUAACAAAUGCAUGCCAAGGACGGUAAGAUUUUCUGCAGUGCUCUCUUUUUUCUGGUUGGUAGAGCAAGGUUUUGUAGUUUAUUUCCAUUGCAUUUGCUAUGUUUGUCGGUAGGGCUAUGUUAGGCCAGAGAGAAGCAUGAGAAAAAAAGUAUUUUGUAUCGGGAGUACCUUUUUUAUCAGUGACAAUUUGUCUGAAUAUUAUCUAAAAAAUGCAAGUGUUUGUCUGUCUGAAAUAAGUCUGUAUGUGUGUUUUCAGUUUGACAGCAAAAACGAAAUUCUGCCAUACGCCACAACAACAUGAAGCAAUGAACUUGGCUUUCAUAACAACAUCCAUCAUAUACAAAAGAUUAUAUAAUAUGCACUAGAGUCUUUCUAGUUAGUCAGACUGAUUUUGACAUAUUCUAAAACAUAAACUAAAGUUUAACAUGUCCAAAAGACAGCUACAGCCACUAGGAAAAUGGUAGCUGGCGUCUUGAACUGCCACUACUUACUAGUAGCUGAUUAGCUAAGGGGAGGUUUGCUGUUGCUUGUUGCUACAAUAGAACCCUAUGGUGUUCUCCCGGUCGACCGGUUACUGCAUCUCGAGCCUCAGCUCCGGAUACGCUUGUUCGCUUGAACAAACCAGCUGUUGGGUAGAUAUAUACAUUUCCUUCUUGCUGUCUCUUUGUGGGGUUGCGAUUUUUUACUCCAUGUCGGAUUUGUCGCAGAGUCUAGGAAAUGGCAAACACAGCUAUCCACUUGAAUCUGGAAAUGGCAAAUAUGUUUGGUUUGCUUUCUUGACUUGAUAGGAUCGUGAUUUGGUGGUCGAGCCUAUGUCAACCACUGGUUCCACUCAGCCGAGCAGGCCAGACAUAGGUCUUCACCUUCAGCAUCCAGUGAGAGUGUCAGGGCUCGCAAUUUAGGUUCUAGUUCCAGAUCAGCUGCCCCGCCACCAGCAGCACCACAAGCAGGGGCUGCAAACCCUUUACGUUUCGAUGCAAAUACUAUACAUUUCUCCGUAAAUGCCUGGGUAAGGAAGAAGCCACCUUUCUCUUCACAGUAGGAAUGCGUAAUUGUGUAAUAUUUGCUGUAAGUAGGAAGUUAAUUUUUUAUAUGUGCUACUGGACAAGUGAGGAGUUCUGUAAUCCACUGCAUCAUUUCGUCAUACAAAUUUGUUUGUUCUUAUAUGUGCCUUUGGACUAGCCAUUGUGGAGGGAGGGGAAGGCAGGCCUGGAUGUUAUCUACGCCGACGGUAUCAAGUGGCAAACUUUCUGUUGCGUCCUAGUUAUCUCCCAGCUUUCAUAAUUAUCACACUGUUUGUCUCAUGCUAGAUAGUUCAUUAUUUUGAUUGGUAGUUGUUGUUACACUUUUUGUAGUUGCUACUUUUUAUGUGCUCGUGGCGAAGAUAACCAAGCUCAAGAACAUAACAAUGAUUCAUUUGUUUGUCUGUUUUCGUUGCCAUUUUGAAGUGGUAAUCAGAAAAGCAAAAUGAGUGAUGAUCUUGAUUAAUUUCUAGAGUUGUUACAUGUCUCAAAUUUUAUUGAGGUCAAAAUUAUACGAAUGUGAAUAUUGGCUAUUCUGCUUCUUCCUGUCCAUUUCUUGUAUAAGCAGUUUACCAAGUCUUCUCCAAUAGUAAUGCGUAUGUCAUGUAUGUUCUUAUUCGCUCCCAAUUUCCUGAAUAUCUAUGAUCUGAAUAUGCAUAAUUUUGAUAAAUUUGGCAGGCACUCAGGAAGGUGCCAAGGAGAUGUUGGACCAAGGCGUGGAGGCACUACGAGCUGAAGAGCACAUAGCUGCAGAUGCUAGAGGCCGGCCCGGUGAGCCGAGGAUUGGAGGUAGCGCUGAUUGGUGUUUUUAUGGAGAGUUAGGAUGCCACUGUUUGGUCUUUUUAUGCAUUUUGGUUUGCUUGUAACUGUGUUUGCACUAGCUGGGAGUAAGUGACUUGGCAAGAAGUGUAGGUGUUUUAAUUGAAGGCAUGAAAAGCCAUGACAAUAUGUAUGCUCUUACAGGAUGUGCUCUAAUGCCGCUGGUUUAUUAUAAAUCUUGGAUUAGUAAUGAUGUGUAAUGCUGCUGGUUUAUUGCAAA